CAGGAAUCAGAGUUGCAGUUUGAUCUAGGGUCAGGAACCAGGGGCCAGAGUUGGUGCCAGGAGGUAGGCCAAGGUGAGGAAGUAGAAGUCAGAAGCAGGAGACAAAGCCAAGUCAGAAACCAGGAAGGGCGUAUCAUGUGGGGGCACCACAGAAGAAGUGCUAAGGAAGCUAUUGGAGAAUCAGACAAGCAGUGCAUGAAUCAGAAGAGUUUACAUACUCUCAGGCAUUCCUGAAUUUUUCAACCAGACAAAGUAUGUUGUUGCUUUUUCUGCGAGGAAGAACAAAAGUUUGCCAACUGAGUAAGAGCUUGCAGCAGUUACAAUGAGAAG